rnacentral:rRNA from 1 species
UACAGAGGGCCCGAGCGUUGUUCGGAUUCACUGGGCGUAAAGGGUGCGUAGGUGGUGAGGUAAGUCGGAUGUGAAAUCUCCGAGCUCAACUCGGAAAUGGCAUUGGAAACUACCUUGCUUGAGGGUUGGAGGGGGGACUGGAAUACUUGGUGUAGCAGUGAAAUGCGUAGAUAUCAAGUGGAACACCAGUGGCGAAGGCGAGUCCCUGGACAACUCCUGACACUGAGGCACGAAAGCUAGGGGAGCAAACAGG